rnacentral:rRNA from 1 species
UGGGGAAUAUUGCACAAUGGGCGCAAGCCUGAUGCAGCGACGCCGCGUGCGGGAUGGAGGCCUUCGGGUUGUAAACCGCUUUUGUUCAAGGGCAAGGCAGGCUUUCGGGCCUGUUUGAGUGGAUUGUUCGAAUAAGCACCGGCUAACUACGUGCC